GUCAGUAAGGUGGAAGGCUGGUUAAACCGUUUGGUUUACGACCACUACGACCCGGGUUCGAUCCCCGCAUUGGACA